rnacentral:lncRNA from 1 species
AAGCAAGUCUUCAACCACCAGUUAUGUCUAAGUCUCCUCCAGAAUGUAUAGCCAGAGUUUUCAAAAGCAGUUUUCAAUCAAUGUGCCAUUUGAAGCAAAUAAAUGCAAUUUGUCCCAGAUACAAACACACUAAAAGAACAACCCCAAAACCAUUACACUAAGCAACACAACCAACAUUGAUCUCUCCUGAAAACAUCCCAUUUUACCAUCAAGGUACAACAAUGAUUCCAAGGACAUGAACCGAUGUUGGAUGUUGACACAUGCAUAGUGCAUUUUUGCAGCCAAGCUAGACCUGCAUUUGAUACUACAUACCCAUAAAUUUCCUCCCUUGAGCUGUACUAACAGCUGAUAACCAGAGCAAAGCAACCCGGCAGGCGGGAGAGACCAGAUCCAAUGAUGACGGAGGGUGGGACAUAGGUAGGUAUGAGCCAAUGAGCGCUGCGGCACUGCUGAGUGACAGAAGGUGUGCCCAUUAGAGGCAUACCUAAGGUGGGAGCUAACAACAUUUGGGCACGUCUGGAGAAAAGAGGACGGCAAUGUAUGGAAAGCAGCCAGGCCUGCAAAGGCACUUCUUGGGCUAAAGUAGACAUUCUGUUAAUUACAUAACAAAACUGAGUUCUUCCUUUAUUUAAUUACAGGGGCAACACACACACCCCCCGCCCUCAUUUGCUUCAGCUCAGGUGGGGGUGAGGAACCCUUUUUCAGGGCUGCAUCCUAUCUCCACAGGAGGAGGUUUGCUCCUCUGAGCAAACAUUUGCUGUGAUCUGCAGGUGGGCAGGCGGCAGCUGCUGCUGAGUUUGGGUGCUGCUUGGGAGGACCAGGGGCUGCACUGGAUGGGACUUUGGCCUGACCCUGCAGGACUCAACUUGUAUCACUGGGGCUGCAGUGGAAGGUUUAACUUUUCCCUCCUGGUGCGCAGUGAGAUUUAAGAAUAUUUAUAUGCAGAUGCACAGCACACACUUAGCAUAAUGCACAGUUUAACGAAGACUGGGUCAUACUAUCUGACUCCACCACUGGAGGUCUUUGGGUAAACAAUGAAGAUUUAGAUUUGACUGCUCCCUGAUGUCCAAGCCUUCCUCUUGCUGCCACUGGCGCUUGCCUCAUUUCACCUCUUUUUUCGUCCCAGUUUGACUGGAGCUGGGCCUGCCAAAAUCCCAUGUACACUAACCCUGAGCUCUCUGGACAAUGAGUGAGGUGCAAAUGUGAUAAGUAGACUUUGCUAUCUUUCCCUUAAUCAAACCAGAAUCUCUGGCCCACCAGUGCAUUCUUUGUGGUCAGUCUGGGCAGCUGGCCUUUGUGGAUCCAGAGCUGAAGAAUGAUUUCAAGUUGUGGGUGGGCCAUGGGGCUAAGAGAUGACCUGUUUGACGGGACACUGCAGUUUUGCAUACUCCUUACAUAUUCCCUUGGCUCUCCUUUUAAUCCAACUCUGCCGUUUCCCAUGUACGCAGUUUUGGAAGGGAUUCUCUUCAUGACAAAGCACUUAAGCAACGUGACUUACUGCUUCAAACCAAAUUGUUCUCCAUUUUCAAUGAUCCCAGAUGUGUUGUCUUCAGGCACACUGAAUUAAUUGUGCCCUCUCCUUUGAAGUGCAACCCAGCCUCUAAGCUUCCCCUUCCCUCUCUUCCCAACCACGGAGCAGUGCAAAACCCAGUUAAUAAAACAGUUUGUAUUCAGCAGCCCAAACAUGGAGCCUUAAUUUUUGUUAUUGUUAAAAUAGCUUGAAAACCAACUAGCGUGUUCAGCAGGCAACACACUAACACAGCAGAUCUCUGGGUAAGAAGUUCACAUGCUCAUAUUCCUUCUUCAGUGCCAGCAACGUAUGAGCAGAAAGUCUUGCUUCUCCCAUAGCCAUAGCCUUGGAUUCCAGCAGAAAUCAAGCA